CCGUGAGGGAANGUUGAAAAGAACUCUGAAUAGAGAGUUNAAUAGUACGNGAAACUGCUUAGAGGUUAAGCCCGAUGAACCUGAAUAUCCAUUNUGAAAAAUUCNUUAUUAUACCNGUNGUAUUAAUUUNAUUAAUAUUAUAGUGAUAGNAUGCAUUUUUUUCAUANAAGGACAUUGUAAUCUAUUAACAUAAUAAAAAUAUUUAUCNNAAGANCAUUGGUUUUAAGUUUAUUCAAAUUAAUUUGCUUUUAGCUUAUUAACAUAGAAUAAAUACUAAUGAUUUGAUAAAGUGUUGAUAGAUUUUAUUAUAUAUAAUGCUAAAAUUCUUUGGAAUUUUACAAUAAUUUUAUAAUCUAUGAUUUUAAUAUUUAUUGUAUGCAUUUAUAUGAUUAACAAUGCGAAAGAUUCAGGAUACCUUCGGGACCC
rnacentral:rRNA from 1 species